UGACGUGUGCAAAUUUGCUCGUAAGGAGUGCAGAUCUGGAGGGCGUGCAUAUGCAAUGACUGUAGUAUCGCUCCAGAGGUACACCGGUAUACGCCAGCAUGUCGAUGUUUGGAGUCAAUAUUUGAUUUGACCCGUGAAAACUAACAUCAUCCCAUCCC